UUUUGCAUUUUUGUACUAAAUGUCUAUUGUUUUUUUCAAGGGGGACUGUAUGACUGAUAGUGUGACUUAAGAAGGAUAUAUUUAAUUUAUUGCUGUUUCAAAAAGCUUAUAAAAACAAAGUAUUGAUAAGAAAACUUUUUUAGUUUUCAUCAUUUGUCAUUCUUAGAAGUAGUUAUUAGCUUAACUUGGUAUUAUUAUUCCUCUGAAAGUUGUAAGAAAGAAUGAUAACUACUAUGACUUCAUGACACUUCAAAUAAUAGAUCCCUUUUUUUGGUUGCUUAUUACUUUACUGAGUUUUAGCAUAUAACUUCUUUACAAGUCCAAAGCUAUACUCAAAUUUUUGAAAAAAGUCAGACUGAUUCAAUGAUAUCUGAUAAUGAGGCGAGAUUUACCCAUGAUGAAAUUUAUAGGCAAUCUUAUUUAAAUAUUUUCAGUAUUUUUAUGAACUUGAGCUUUUAAGAGUCUAACUUUUGGGAGUUUUUUCAUCUGAAUAUAAAAAUUUAUCCAUCCAAAUUUGUUGAAAUUGCAAUGCACUGAAAUACUACAUUUACAUAAGUGUUAAGGAUUUGACACUUAUAGAGAAUAAGUUCCUCAAAUAUUUUAUUCACAUUUUAUGUAUCCCAAAAUAUGCUUAGCUAAUGCUCUGUUGACAAUUUCAUCUCUUUGUCCAGAAACUACAAUACUCUCAUAUUCCAUGACCUCUCUUCUGGGACAUAACAAUAUUAGCAGAUAGCUUCCAUGUUUGAACACAGAAGGAUGAAAAUCAGAUCUGAACAGAGAGAAAAAGAUGAAGAAAUGCUAUUGACUGUUCCAGGCUAUCAUGAUUGCAGUAUUAAAAAUGGGAAGGCACUAUGGAGACUGAGGUAAAAAAAAAUCCAUAGAGUUUUUACAUAUCCAAGCCCAACUCUCACUGACAUAAGGUGUGUCUGAAAAUGUUCUCUUCAGCCAAACAGUCUCAUGGUUUCAGAUGGCAGUAGAAAACUCCCUACUUUUCCAUCUUAAGACAAAAGACCUUACAAAGGACCCUAAUAAAGUCAAAGGAAGAAAAAACAUCCAAAUCAUCUCCGUUUCACAAUUUUCCAGCAUGCUUCUUAUGGUGAAAGGAACUGAUUUCAAAGGAAAGGAAGAAAGGAAGAAGAAAUGUCUCUUUCAAGCAUUGCUGGAAGGAGUGGCUUAACGUUCUAAACAUAAUGGAAAUGUCUGAAUUUGCUGAGCCAAUGAUUUAACCUGAGUUAGGUUUGAGUGAAAUCUUCUUUGAGAUGUGAGCACUGAUUUCCCUUGAAUUUAAUGAGUGGAUCUUUUGAGAGUAAAUUUUAAACACUGACCAUGUGUUGGCUGUGUGAGGGUGCAGAGCAUUCUGCCUCCACACCCUUCUGCAGAAAUGCUGGGGGAAAGCCAGCAUUAUGUCAAAGCCAUGAAGACUGAAACUUUAUUUUUAAAGCAUUUUUACUUUUUGCUUUCUCACCAUUAUUUCUGGUUUGGCUUGGGGUUUUUUGUUUCCCUUUUUUUCCCGCCCUCCUCUAAGGAAACAG
rnacentral:lncRNA from 1 species